GGACUGGUGUGCACACAGGUGUCCAUGUGCCUGUAUGUAUGCAGGUGUGUGUGUGACACACACAUACAUGUGAUAUACGCAGGCGUGUGAGAUACACAUACAUGUGACAUAUGCAGGCGUGUGAGAUACACAUACAUGUGAUAUAUGCAGGCGUGUGUGAGACACAUACCUGUGGUGUAUGCAGCUGUGAGACACAUACAUGUGAUAUAUGCAGGUGUGUGAGACACACACAUGAUAGAUGCAGGCGUGUGAGGCAUAUAUGUGUAUGCAGGUGUGUGAGACACAUACAAGUGAUAUAUGCAGAUGUGUGUGACAUACAUGUGGUGUAUGCAGGCAUGUGUGACACAUAUACAUGUGAUAUAUGCAGGCGUGUGUGAGACAUACAUACCUGUGGUGUAUGCAGGCGUGUGAGACACAUACAUGUGACAUAUGCAGGCGUGACAUACAUACCUGUGGUGUAUGCAGGUGUGUGAUACACAUACAUGUGACAUAUGCAGGCGUGUGACAUACAUACCUGUGGUGUAUGCAGGCGUGUGAGAUACACAUACAUGUGACGUAUGCAGGCAUGUGACAUACAUACCUGUGGUCCACACCUGUCUGCACACGCCUCCUGUUACUGAUGGUUAACUCAGUGGCUGGCACACUCACCACCUUCUCACUGUGGCUGGCAACAAGCUGCUGUUCUGCACCAGGACCUCCUCUCAGGCUCCCAGCAAAGGAGGCCGGCAGCUUUGACACGAGGGUCCGGGAGCCGUGGCUCCUCCAGGUUAGUGGUGCACACAGCGCUUGCCACACCGCCCACUGCCUCACUCCGUGCUGUGCCUGGUGCUGCGUGGGUCCUGAGGCUCCUGCUCCUGACCCUGGUGCCGCUGGGACAGAGUCCAGGUGGGAGGGCAGUGUGUGGUGUGUGUGUGGCCAGUCCCCAGGGACAGGACGCCCGAG
rnacentral:lncRNA from 1 species